UUCUGCAGCACGUUAUUGUGACUCUUUGUCUGAAGUCUCACUUCUGCAGAUUAUUUGACAUAUCCUCAGAAGAUGAGCUGUAGACCAGAAAUUUUAACUUUUUUUUUAACAUAAAACAUUUAGAGGAUGGAUGUAUAAAAGUACCAGGCUCUUGCCCAGCAGAGGCCAGCCAGCACAGUAUCCUUGUUUAAUGCAGACAGCAGCAGGAAUACGGGCUUCUCCACAGAAGACCUGUUUACCUUGCCAGCUUUUGUGGGACCACCCUGAUGACUGGAGAGAGUCCACUCUCCAAGUCUGCUCAGUCUUCGGCUUCUGAAAAUGGCCUGUCAGCAAGAUGGUGUUUUCCUCAGACCCACAUGUAACAGGAUAUGUACCAUGCUCUGCAGAGUUUGGUGCCCCAGCAGACACCUCCCACCAGCCAACAGUGUGCAAAUAUCAGCAUCCCAGCAGCUGCUCAUCAAGCACCCCAGAACAAUAUCAGCCAAAGCAGCACAGAGAGCUUUUGGGACACUGUUUGAAGGAGACAUCCUCCAUUGAAAAAGGAUGAUGGACAGAAUGACAGGAGUACCACACAAUCUUCAUUUUCUGGGAUAGCCAAGGAUGACAAUUGUUUUCUGUGGACACAGUCUGUGUGACAAAGUACUCAUGCGCAGCCCUGCCCAGGAGCAGCAAGAGCAGGGCUGCUCCAGGACAAGGGCUGAGAGAGUGUGACCCCUGUGCCCUCCCUGAUGCAUCCCACAAUACCUAAACAUACUGGGCAGAGCUUGCUGCUUGUCACAGGGUCCAUUCACAGUCCCUAAUGCUGAAAAUAGACCAGCUCUGGAGUCUGAUAUUUAAAGUGAUAUUAAUAACAUUUGUCUCUCUCCUGAAAUGAUGUAACCUUAUGAAUGUUUCCUAAAUGCUUUGUAAAAAGCUCUUAGGUGAAAGAUUCUGUGUCAGCACAAGAUAAUGGCAUUCCCAAAGAGAAUGCCUAAAGGUUAGCUGAACCAUUCUAAGAGGCUGGAGAUCCCUUUGCAGCUUUCCAAAUAAGUUAGCUAAUUUCCCCUUGCAUCAAAACAAUAUAACGUCAGAGGGAUGGCAUUUUUCUGCUGUUACAGACUAGCCAAGGUCACAUUCCACUGCAAAGUGACUGUCUUUCAAUGCAUACCAUUCCUUGGGAUAGAUAAAUAAUGAGUUAAUAUUUACAGGGGGUAUUGUCAACAGAAAAUAGUCUGAAAAGAUGUUUGUAUUGAUUUCAUUUAAUUGAAAAAAAAUACAGGGAGAACAGUAAAUUUAAUUUAGAUUUCCAUGCAUAGGAACACCUAAGUCAGAAAUUAUUAUCAGUAUAGUUACGGUAACAUCACUAGCAUUUUCUUUCAAUAUCAAGUUGAUUUUUCUUUAAAGGGAACUCACACAUAAAUGUAUUACUUAACUUUUUUUAAAGUGACAGAAGAUAUCCUAUUUCUUUAAAGUGCAUGGGAAUGCUUGGUAUCCUAAAAUUGGUACAAGACUUCCUACUCUGUGUUGGGACUAAUGUUAGAAUCUAAGGCUUUCAUUAAUAGCAGAGGUUGCUUUCAUCAUUGAGCUACAAAACAAGGAUUGACAAAGGUUGCACACUUUCCAUAAGAAUACUUGUACACCCUAUGCACCCUUUCCAUUCUCAUAAUAAGACCUCACUGCAGUGUUGAUCACCUACAUUCUGAUCUGGUAAAAAGCCUAAAGCUAGGUCUACACAAAUGAAUUUAGUCCAUGGUCUGGUCCAAGCAUGGCAAAUUCUGCACAUAUCACCGUAUCUACAGUUUGCAGAACUUGAUCCCCUAAGUACACUCAAAAUAACAUAUUGUGCCUUCCAAUUAGUGAGGAUUACAAGACAAGACCUAGCAGGUCACUCAAACAUCUGCACAUUUAUACUUAUCCUUACAAUGGCUUAUUAAAAGCUAUUCAUGUUCCUGUCUUUUUUAAACUAGAAAGAAAGCUCCCUACUUCAGAAAAAAUGGGUUUGGGUUUUCAGGCUGGUUGGUCUGAUCAUUCAAACAGCAGUUACAGCAUGACUCAGGGCUUGCACUUAUAUCCAGAAACUACUGUUUGGACUGUGUUGGGAAUGUACAUUACAGCCCUUGCACUAUUCAUUGCUCUUGGUAUGUACCCUGCAGUUAGUCUCUUCAUGGAACCCCUCCAGGAGGAAAUAUUUUCUGUUUCAGCCAUGUUCCCAUUGCUGGGAGCAAAUCAAGUCCAGUAGGCCAAACCUUGAGUCAUUACUGUCUUGAUUUGAUCCAAGAUCUCUAAGUCUGUGAAUGGACAAAAUAGAGAAUUUCACAUACGCAUUCCUUAUCUUUCCAAAGCCUGAGAGUUACAAGAAGCAGCCCACUAUGAUGAACUUGCCUGUGGAAGAUAACAUUGUAAUAUAAAUUAAAGAAAUUGAAAGUAAAAUCUAUAAAUAUGUAUUAAAAAAAUAUUCUGUUCCA